UCUAGUGGCGGACGGGUGAGUAACACGUGAGAAUUUACCUUUAGGAGGGGGAUAACAAUUGGAAACGAAUGCUAAUACCCCAUAUGCUUCAGAGUGAAAUGGAUUUAUAUUUAUCCGCCUAAAGAGAAGCUCGCGGCUGAUUAGCUUGUUGGUAAGGUAAGAGCUUACCAAGGCGACGAUCAGUAUCUGGUUUGAGAGGACGAUCAGACACACUGGAACUGAGACACGGUCCAGACUCCUACGGGAGGCAGCAGUGGGGAAUUUUCCGCAAUGGGCGAAAGCCUGACGGAGCAAUACCGCGUGAGGGAAGACUGCCUAUGGGUUGUAAACCUCUUUUUUCAGGGAGGAAUAAAAUGACGUGUACCUGAAGAAUAAGCAUCGGCUAACUCCGUGCCAGCAGCCGCGGUAAGACGGAGGAUGCAAGUGUUAUCCGGAAUCACUGGGCGUAAAGCGUCUGUAGGUGGUUUAAUAAGUCAACUGUUAAAUCUUGA
rnacentral:rRNA from 1 species